rnacentral:rRNA from 1 species
GAUUAACGCUGGCGGCGUGCAUAACACAUGCAAGUCGAACGAUGAAACUUUAAUGACCCCUUCGGGGAGAAUUAAAGCGGAUUAGUGGCGAACGGGUGAGUAACGCGUGAGUAACCUGCCCUACACAAGGGGAUAGCCUUUGGAAACGAAGAAUAAUACCCUAUAACACCAUAAAAGCACAUGCAAUUAUGGUCAAAGUGAUAGCGGUGUAAGAUGGACUUGCGUCUGAUUAGCUAGUUGGUGAGAUAAAAGCCCACCAAGGCAACGAUCAGUAGCCGGCUUGAGAGAGUGUACGGCCACAUUGGGACUGAGACACGGCCCAGACUCCUACGGGAGGCAGCAGUGGGGAAUUUUGCACAAUGGGGGAAACCCUGAUGCAGCGACGCCGCGUGAUUGAGAAGGCCUUCGGGUUGUAAAAAUCUUUUGUAUAGGAAGAAAAUGACAGUACUAUACGAAUAAGGUCCGGCUAAUUACGUG